rnacentral:rRNA from 1 species
CCUACGGGGCGCAGCAGUGGGGAAUAUUGCUCAAUGGGGGAAACCCUGAUGCAGCAACGCCGCGUGAGGGAAGACGGUUCUCGGAUUUUAAACUUCUGUUUUUAGUGAAGAAUAAUGACGGUAGCUUAGCAGCAAGCCACGGCUAACUACGUGCCAGCAGCCGCGGUAAUACGUAGGUGGCAAGCGUUGUCCGGAAUUACUGGGUGUAAAGGGAGUGCAGGCGGGAAGCCAAGUCAGCUGUGAAAACUACGGGCUUAACUUGUAGACUGCAGUUGAAACUGGUUUUGUUGAGUGAAGUAGAGGUAGGCGGAAUUCGGGGUGUAGCGGUGAAAUGCGUAGAUAUUCGGAGGAACACCGGUGGCGAAGGCAGCCAACUGGGCUUUAACUGACGCUGAGGCUCGAAAGUGUGGGGAGCAAACAGGAUUAGAUACCCGAGUAGUC